rnacentral:rRNA from 1 species
UACGGGGGGGGCAAGCGUUGUCCGGAAUCACUGGGCGUAAAGGGCGCGUAGGCGGCCUGAUAAGUAGGGGGUGAAAUCCUGCGGCUUAACCGCAGGGCUGCCUUCUAAACUGUCAGGCUAGAGCACAGUAGAGGCAGGUGGAAUUCCCGGUGUAGCGGUGGAAUGCGUAGAGAUCGGGAAGAACAUCAGUGGCGAAGGCGGCCUGCUGGGCUGUUGCUGACGCUCAGGUGCGAAAGCUAGGGGAGCGAACAGG